rnacentral:rRNA from 1 species
GACGAACGCUGGCGGCGUGCUUAACACAUGCAAGUCGAACGGAUUGGCGAACGGGUGAGUAACACGUGGGUGAACUGCUUUGCACUUCGGGAUAAGCUUGGGGAACUGGGUCUAAUACCGGAUAGUGCAAGAUGUGCUUGGGGCCUAUCAGCUUGUUGGUGGGGUAAUGGCCUACCAAGGCAUCGACAGGUAGCCGGCCUGGGAGGGUGUACGGCCACAGUGGGACUGAGAUACGGCCCAGGCUCCUACGGGAAGCAGCGGUGGGGGAUAUUGCACAAGGGGCGGAAGCCUGAUGCAGCGACGCCGCGGGGGGGAUGAAGGGCUUGGGGUUGUGAACUCAUUUCGACAGGGACGCGGUACCUGUAUAAGAAGCACCGGCUAACUACGUGCCAGCAGCCGCGGUAAUAC